rnacentral:rRNA from 1 species
AUUGAACGCUGGCGGCAGGCCUAACACAUGCAAGUCGGACGGUAGCACAGAGAGCUUGCUCUCGGGUGACGAGUGGCGGACGGGUGAGUAACGUCUGGGAAACUGCCCGAUGGAGGGGGAUAACUACUGGAAACGGUAGCUAAUACCGCAUAACGUCGCAAGACCAAAGUGGGGGACCUUCGGGUCUCACACCAUCGGAUGUGCCCAGAUGGGAUUAGCUAGUAGGUGGGGUAAUGGCUCACCUAGGCGACGAUCCCUAGCUGGGCUGAGAGGAUGACCAGCCACACUGGAACUGAGACACGGUCCAGACUCCUACGGGAGGCAGCAGUGGGGAAUAUUGCACAAUGGGCGCAAGCCUGAUGCAGCCAUGCCGCGUGUAUGAAGAAGGCCUUCGGGUUGUAAAGUACUUUCAGCGGGGAGGAAGGCGGUGAAGUUAAUAGCUUCACCGAUUGACGUUACCCGCAGAAGAAGCACCGGCUAACUCCGUGCCAGCCGCCGCGGUAA